rnacentral:tRNA from 1 species
UCCCUAGUAGCUCAGACGGUAAAGCGUCUGCCUGCAAUGCAAGAGACCCGGGUUCAAUCCCUGGGUCAGGAA